rnacentral:rRNA from 1 species
GUAGGGGGCGAGCGUUGUCCGGAUUUACUGGGCGUAAAGAGCGCGUAGGCGGAGACUUAAGUGUGGCCUGAAAGCCCCCGGCUCAACCGGGGAGGGUGGCUGCAAACUGGGUUUCUAGAGGGGGAUAGAGGAAAGUGGAAUUCCGGGUGUAGCGGUGAAAUGCGUAGAGAUCCGGAGGAACACCAGUGGCGAAGGCGGCUUUCUGGGUCCGCCCUGACGCUGAGGCGCGAAAGCGUGGGGAGCGAACGGGAUUAGAUACCCCGGUAGUCCACGCCGUAAACGAUGGUCACUAGAUGUGUGCGGUAUCGACCCCGCACGUGUCGCAGCUAACGCACUAAGUGACCCGCCUGGGGAGUACGGCCGCAAGGUUG